rnacentral:tRNA from 1 species
AGAGUAGUAGGGUAAUUGGUUAGCCCCCUGCAUUUGGGAUGCAGUGAUAUUGCAAGUUCGAGUCUUGUCUACUCUA